GACGAACGCUGGCGGCGUGCCUAAUACAUGCAAGUAGAACGCACAGUUUAUACCGUAGCUUGCUACACCAUAGACGGUGAGGUGCGAACGGGUGAGUAACGCGUAGGUAACCUGCCUGGUAGCGGGGGAUAAGUAUAGGACACGAUAGCUAAUACUGCAUAAUAUUGAGUAUUGCAUGAUAAUUGAUGGAAAGAUGCUAUUGCAUCACUAUCAGCUGGACCUGCGCUGUAUUAGCUAGUAGGUGAGGUAACGGCUCACCUAGGCGACGAUACAUAUACGACCGGAGAGGGGGGUCGGCCGCACGGGGACUGGAACACGGCCCAUGCGCCUGCGGGAGGGAGCAGUAGGGUAUCGUCGGCAAUAGCCGGAAGUCUGACCGAGCAACGCCGCGUGAGUGGAGAAGAUUUUCGGGUCGUAAUGCUCGGUUGUAGGAGGAGAACGGGUGUGAGAGUGGAAGGUGCACGCUGUGACGGUAUCUUACCAGAAAGGACCGGCUAACUACGUG
rnacentral:rRNA from 1 species